UUCCCAAACAUACUCAGCCAACAGGAGUGACGACACACAUCUGCCCCACCUAGAGAUGUGAGCUGCACUCUCAAUUGCUGGUUUCCAUACAUGGUUGGAAGAAGAGGUUGCUAAAGGGAACUGGGUGUUCCAAUGUGUGGUUCUGAAGAUACUCAAGAAUUCAUGAGAUACUUCCAAUUGCGCAUGGGUGACUGAGGGACAUUGUGCGUUUUUCACUGAGGAUAUACCUGCCGGCUUCAUGGAUGCUUGCUGCAGCAAGAGAAAAUACACACUCAAGGAAACCAUGGACCAUGGGCUUUAUGAUGGGUUUUGAGCUUGUACAAGAUAAUGGAUAUCAGUUCAUGAAGUAGAAUGUUGAUUUUCUCUGGAGGGAAGAAGUGAAAAUGGAAAGCAAUGAGAGGUCAUUUUAUCUCAACCUACAGAAUCGAGGCAAGGCAUACAAGAGAGGUAUGAGCACUGGAGGAAUGCAGAUGUGAAUGUGGAUUAGCAUAAAUCUGGACCUACAAAAUUCACAGGAUACCAGCGCCGCGUGUUCCUCGACAGUUACUUGUGUCUGCCCAUCAGCUGGACCAGCGAUUUCAGCCCCGCAGUGUUUCAGCGUCCCCUGGGGAGUGAAGUACGACACAGUACCGGACACCAGCCCACACCAUCCCCGAACGGAGUUCAAGGCCGGAGCAGAUUUCAUUCAUCUUGGUAUUACCAGCUUCUGCCACUAGGUGGCAGGCACAAAUUUUUGCUAAAUUGAUAUGCCAUCGCAAGGCUAAAAGAGAAAGACGGCUACCAAGUAUUCAGGAGCUGUGGAGAAAAAUAAUGCAAAAGGUCAACAGCACUUGGGCAAUCCUAAAGAGUGAGAGAAUGUCUUUUACAAGAAGUCCAGAUUUCCAUGUUAAGUUUUUUGUUCCGCCUCAAUACAGUGCCUCGAUGUUUCUCUCCAACUCUAAGGACUUGGAAUUCCCCCACAAUGUUUUGCAGUUCAACUAGCUGGUCCUAAGCAGGGGUUGCCCUCCAGUGACUGCCCAAAAGACAGAAAAACUUGAGCCUGGGCUCUGGCAAGGCCUAAGCUGAGCUGGACCUUGGAAACUUCUCUGAAAUUGCUCUUCCCACUUUAGAGAGGAUGCUGUGUUUGACGAAACGCUCAUCCCAAUUAAUUCCAAGGCGGUUAACCGGCAAAUAACCUCCAACGCAAUAGUGUAAACCGACAGCCAUACACACAGAAUUUCUUACGGAAGCAAAAGGAUCCUUUUCUGAAAAUGACAGGUUUCAAACGGAUUGGAAUUGGAUCCCCGGUGCACAAGACUGCUUGAUAUAGGCUGCAUACAACCCAAAUGCUGGGAUUGUCUUAAAAGUGGCAGAAACUGGAGAAGAGGAUAUUGAAACACUACAAGAAACACACCAAGAAUUUGCUGAACAUUGGCACUUCUCUGAGACAAGAAAGGAACCCCUGUGUUGAGAAUCAGAGUCUUAGGCCCAGAACUUCAAAUGCUCAGUGCAGUGACUUGUUUUAUAAUCCAUGGAUGUUGGUUAUAGUGAGAUAUGGUUAGGAACUUCAGGUACAAAUUUUGGUUAUGCAAUCAAAAACAAAGAAGAAAUUCACUGAUGAACACACAUCCUAGGGAGAUUUUUGCAAAAGGAAGUUUAGAAAAUGGUCAAACAGAGGAGCAUAGGUAAUGAUUUUUGAGACCAUUUUACUGUAAGACCAUUUGGGAUGCUGUCUUGGUUACUUUUUUCUCGC